CAACGAAAGAUACUUCCAAGAAAACUGAAGGGAACAGUUAUAUGCUGUGUCACAGCAGUUUCAAUGUUUUCCCAGUUCAAUGAGAUGGAUUUUAAACAACGACGGCACAUCCCACCAUGCUUUGUGAUUACAUUCUAUUAGACGUGAUGAAGCAUCUUCAGGGAAGAGAGCCAUCAUUACCAAAUCAGGAAAAAUGGAAUCUUCAGUACUGUAUAAGAGAUCUAGUUUAGGAACAAAAAGUACAUUCUGACAGUAUUUAUCUAGAGUCAACAUGAUUCAGCUGAAAGAACUGGGAAUUGGAAGACCGGUAUUAAUGACCCAACUUUACCCCUUAAUCAGCAACUUGAUCUUGGAUACAUCUUUGGAUGAGCCUCCCCUUACUUAUCUGUAACAGGAAUAAACUGGGUGUGCUUCCUGUCUCACCUACCAGUUGUGAAAAUCCAAAUGAGAAAAUGUACGAAAAGUACUUAGU